rnacentral:lncRNA from 1 species
GUGUUGAGGGGGAUGCACUACCUUUUUCAUAACACACCAGCAAGGAGGGAUGACUUCAUUGCCCUCACCAAAUCCUCAGUCUUCCCGCUACCAUUCUGUGGGCAUCGGUGGAUUGAAAACCUGCCAGUUGUAGAAAGGGCCAUAGAGGUAAUAGUAAUUAAACGUUAUUUAUAUUAUAGCACUUGUCAAAACAAAAUGACAAGGUGCUGCAAAAUACGAUAAAAUAGACGUGCAUGAUGAAAUAAUAAACACAUACAUGAUGAAAUAUUAAAGGUAUGGCCUUCACUGGUGACAUACGUGGAUGCAGUGCGGACAAAGAAGGUUCCAAACCCUGGAACAGCCUCAUUUGACACCAUAGAAGCAGCCAAGCAAGAUCCACUCAUCUUGCCUAAGCUACUAAUUCUUCAUGGCCAUCUCAAGGACGUUCACUCCCUUUCUGACGAAGUAUCAGACUGACGCACCAGUCAUGCCAUUCCUUUGCAAGGACUUGGUGGAGUUGUUCCAGAGUAUGCUUAGGCGUUUUGUUAAGAGGGAGCAUCUCCAAAACAUCACUCCAGUGCAGCUGGUGAGGCUGGAUGUGGCUGACCAAAAGAUCUGGGUCAACUUGAAGGAAGCUGACAUAGGCUUGAGUGCAGAGGCAGCCCUGAAGGUAAUUUAGAUGUAUUACUUAUUACUUACUUUCUAUCAAAUGAUGCUCCAUAUCCACCAGGCAGGAGAGAAUGCUGUGUUAGGCCAUUCAGCUGUAUUUACAACACAUUACCCAUCUGUCAGGACCUCCAGAGAAAGAACAGCAUAGGAGAGCUCACUGCCCUAGAGUUUAGGAAGGACUGCGUGAAGGGUAUGUCAAAUAUCCUAACGAAAGUCCAGGACAAGAGCCCCCUGAAGUACCCUAUUGUGAGACAGGUGGCAUGCCUGGAUCCCACAGCCAUGUACUCCGACCCGGACUGGUGCCAGGGAAAAAUGAGGAGUGUAGUGCAGAAAUUCCUGCAAGACAAGCAGUUGUCCAGAGGUGUCGCUGCUGGUGAUGUGAUUAUCCAACAGUUUGGGAACUUCAUGUCUGUCGAGGCUAAAAGUGAGAAGUUUUUGUCCUUCCGGCCCCUCGAAACCAGGCUUGAUGUGUUUCUGCAUGGCUUUCUCGGCCAACCCUACCCUGAGCUUUGGGGUUUCUGUCAGAAGAUCCUACUGUUAUCCCAUGGGCAGGCAACGGUCGAGAGAGGCUUCUCGAUAAAUAAGGAGGUGGAAACUGUAAACCUUAAGGAGGACACUGUCAUUGCCCAGAGACUGGUGACUACGUUGCCGUUUGUGGGGGGGUUGCCAAUGUCCCUCUCACCAAGGAGCUGCUGACCUCGGUGGGAUCAGCAAGGUCAAAAUAUAGAGAACACCUUGAGCUGGAAAAGAGGAAGAGCCAAGGUGCUGCACAAGGGCAGAAGAGGAAAGCUGCAGAAGAACACAUCGCUGAGCUUAAGAAGAAAAAGAAAACUCUCCUGGAGGUAUGUGGCUCUCUGGAGAAAGAUGCUGACCUGUUUACCGAGCAAGCUGAGGGUAAGUCCGGCACCUUGAUGGCUCAGCUCAUAACGAAAUCAAACAUCCUCAGGAAGAGAUGCAAGGAAAAAUUAAGUGAGCUGAAAAGGAUUGAGGCAGACUGGAGAUUAAGGCAACAGAACUGAGGCUCACCUGAGGCUCAUAACGUGUGUGUGUGUGUGUGUGUGUGUGUGUGUGUGUGUGUGUGUGUGUGUGUGUGUGUGUGUGUGUGUGUGUGUGUGUGUGUGUGUGUGGUAGGUAGGUUCAUUCGUUGUUUUUUUUUGUUUGAGGUUUGCAGCUGCACUUGUUAUUUCGUGAACCACAGAGCCAAUGCUGUUUGACUCAAUUUACUAAAUUUGUUUGUGUAUUUUUGUAUAUUAUUUUGUAAACUUCUUGUUCGGAAACAUGCACUUGUUCUUACAGUUUUUGAACCAGAGAGCACUGAGUAUCACUUUAUGUUCAAUAAACAGACAAAAAGUAAACUUGAAUGAGUCUCAUUGAGUGACACACAUGCUACGCUUGGGUUGUAAUACAGCGGGAUCCCCCCCACCAUCGCGGGUUUAAGGUCUUAAAUUUCAUUCAAGGUGGUAUUAAAAAGGUCUUAAAAAGUCUUAAAUUUGACUUGCUGAAACCUGCAGAUACCCUGGAUACCGCUCACUGGCGGCAAAAACUGAGAGACUAAGGAAGAGUUUCUACCCCCAAGCUGUGAGGUAUCUAAAUGGCACUUAUUGAUAUAUAUAUUUAUUUAAGUAACCCCCCCCCCCCCCGCUCCUUAGACUUUGUGCAAUAACCUCUGACAUAUUGAAUGUAUUUACUGUUUUGUUAUGUUUGUUAUGCAUAUAUUUAGCAUGGAGCCGACUGUGAACAUUUCACUGCAAUGUAUUGUGUAUGUGACAAAUAAAAUCUGAAUCUGAAUCUGAAAAGCGUUACA